GGCUUUGCACAGUGGCAGUAUUAUAGCCAUUGGUUUAUCUGAGGUGUGAUUAUUGCCAAUUUAAAAAAUUGGCAGCCAUUUUUUGGAAGGCAUUGGAAGGC
rnacentral:snRNA from 1 species